rnacentral:rRNA from 1 species
CCCCUUAUGACCUGGGCUACACACGUGCUACAAUGGAUGGUACAACGAGUCGCAAACUCGCGAGGGUAAGCAAAUCUCUUAAAACCAUUCUCAGUUCGGAUUGUAGGCUGCAACUCGCCUACAUAAAGAUGGAAUCGCUAGUAAUCGCUGGUCAGCUACACAGCGGUGAAUCCGUUCCCGGGCCUUGUACACACCGCCCGUCACACC